CGGUAGGCGAGAUGAAGUACCACAUGCUGCUGAAGUACGCAGAAUUGAUCCCUGUCCAUCUCACGUGCCAUUUGUUCUGGUCACAUCAGGUCGCUUGCCUGAAGAACUUCAACAAGUAGCAUGCACCACUGACAUCCGUAGCUAGGUCACACUCUUGCAACCUCCUGCCCAGUUCCUAGAAUUACAAUGGACUGAGACAAAAAGGUUGAUUCCUAGGCAUGCUCACUAGGCAUCAUCUCAUGAGGAUCACUUGACUGAUGUGCUUGGAACAGUGGCAGUAGCACUGCUCAAAAUCCUAACAUUGCUGUUAAAUAUUUCGUCAGUUGAAACGUACCUGAGGAGUUUAGAUUCGAAUUAUGUAACAGGAUAAUCAAAGAAUGUGUUCCACCAGUAAACAUAUAAAUUCAUGGCCACAAUAAUUACUUCAUUUAUGUUGAAAGGAAAAGGAACGUGAUAUAUGUGAAAGAAUGCAAAAAUAAAGACCAAAAAACAUGGAUCAAUUAGGUUUACAUGUGAUCUCGUCCAACCAAUGCCUUUUAUACUUAAAUUUUCCAAGAUCAGUCGGAAUCUAUAAAUAAUUAGAAGGUUGGGUAAAAUGGAGAUUUGUGGUCAAGUGAUUUGUGAUUUUCAGGGUUCAUAGAUGACUUUCCAGAGCAAAGUCCUCUGGAGACUCUGGUCCUGACUUACAUGAAUAUUUCAGGAAGGCUUCCAGAUUCAAUCAGUAAUCUCAGGAUCUUGUCGAGAUUAGAGUUGUUCAAUUACAGUUUGAGUGGAUCGAUCUGGACCUCAAUGGAGAACAUUUUGUAGUUGACUUAUUUGGACUUGUCUUUAAACAAUUGAACUGGUUCAGUUCCUUCAUUAUGUCCAAGAUGUCCCAAUGAUGUGAAGAACUUCGGAACCUUGUAAAACAAGAUUUGCUGUACAACUCACUCGAGGGAACUAUUUGGCUGUCUCUCUUUGCACUUUUUUCGAUUAAGACGAUGCACAUUUCCGUCAAUCAGUUUUCCGGUCAGUUGAGUAUGUCUUUAUUGUCUCUUGCUGUCAAUUGCUUGAUUAGAGCAUAACCAAUUUAGAGGGUUCCGUCUGGGCAUUCAUUUGUGAACUUCGAUGGCUUAACUACCUCUCACUUUGUUUCACCAAUUUCAGUGGCUCGUUGAGUAUUGAUGUGAUACAGCACCUCAGAAACCUCACCCAUCUCUAUCUCUCCUAUGGUAAUUUCCAAUUCUCCAUCAAGCCAUGAUUCUGGUGAAGGUGAAAUCAAUGUAAAGCUCGUUUUGCUUCGAUUA